rnacentral:snRNA from 1 species
GGAUAUAAGGAUGAUUGGGCUGUGACAUCAGUCACCUCUUCGAUCACCAGGGUUGAUUGGGCUGAUCUGGCUGGCUAGGCAAGUGACCCCUUCCUGCCUCACUGCUCCAUGUAUGUUAGACCUCAGACAAGGAAUUCUGUCCUUCAGGCAACAGUAUACAAGCAGCUGUGCUUCCCUACUAGAAUCGCCCAAAAAACUUGUGAAAAGAGUGAGUAGCAUCAUUUUAAAUUUUUAAAAAUUAUUUUAGAUUUUUUUAACAUCUUU